GAUGAACGCUGGCGGCGUGCCUAAUACAUGCAAGUCGAGCGAACAGACGAGGAGCUUGCUCCUCUGACGUUAGCGGCGGGCGGGUGAGUAACACGUGGAUAACCUACCUAUAAGACUGGGAUAACCUCGGGAAACCGGAGCUAAUACCGGAUAAUAUAUUGAACCGCAUGGGUCAAUAGUGAAAGACGGUUUUGCUGUCACUUAUAGAUGGAUCCGCGCCGCAUUAGCUAGUUGGUAAGGUAACGGCUUACCAAGGCAACGAGGCGUAGCCGAACUGAGAGGGUGAUCGGCCACACUGGAACUGAGACACGGACCAGGCUCCUGCGGGAGGCAGCAGUAGGGAAUCUUCCGCAAUGGGCGAAAGCCUGACGGAGCAACGCCGCGUGAGUGAUGAAGGUCUUCGGAUCGUAAAACUCUGUUAUUAGGGAAGAACAAAUGUGUAAGUAACUAUGCACGUCUUGACGGUACCUAAUCAGAAAGCAACGGCUAACUACGUG
rnacentral:rRNA from 1 species